AUGGCCGCCUCCUCCAGCGCCGCACCAGCCAACAUCUCUGGUCAGGUCACCGAGAAGCUGACACGCACCAACUACAUCCUCUGGCGGACUCAAGUCACGCCGCAGCUCCGUGGUGCUAGCUUCUACGGGUAUGUCGACGGCUCCAUGCCGGAGCCGGCCCGACUCGUCGUCACCAAGGACAAAGAAGGGAAGGAGGAGACUUCCCUGAACCCCCUUCAUCCGAUCUGGAUGCGCGAAGAGCAGAAGGUACUUGGCUACCUUCUGAAUAAUCUCUCCAAGGAGGUACUUGUGCAGGUCACCACGAUCGAUCAUGCGCAAGAUCUCUGGACAGCACUGGCGAACAUGUUCUUGUCCCAGUCCCUGUCACGCGUCAACAACAUCUGUGUCGCCCUUGCCAAUGCGCAAAAGGGGACGCAGCCCGUCGCAAGCUUCUUCGGGCACAUGCGCUCACUCUCAGAUGAGCUCGCGGCGGCUGGCAAGCCGCUCGGGGACGGUGAACUCGUCUCCUACAUCAUCGCCGCCCUCGGCAUGGAGUACCAGCCACUCGUCUCCGCGCUCGAUGCCCGCACCACGCCUGUCUCGCUCGAUGAUCUGUUUGCUAUGAUCAGCAACUUUGAUCAGCGGGUUGCCCUCUACCAAGGGGGCCACUCCGGCGGCGGCUUCAAGUCCUCCGCGAACGCGGCCAUGCGCGGCCGUGGUGGCGGCUCACGUCAUCGAGGGCGCGGCAGGGGCAGGCACAAUAGCGGCCCCAACAACAGCAGCAGCAACUCCCGUGGCCACAACGGCGGCGGCGGCCGGCCCUCCUCCAACAACAACCAGGGCCGCCGCAACAACUCCAACAACAGAUCACGCCCCGAUGUCGUCCGGUGUCAAAUCUGUGUAAACCUGGCCACUCAGCCAAGGACUGCUGGUACAGGUUUGACGAUGAUGAUGACUCCUCUCAGGACGAGAAGGUAG
rnacentral:rRNA from 1 species